rnacentral:rRNA from 1 species
GACGAACGCUGGCGGCGUGCCUAAUACAUGCAAGUUGAGCGAUGAAGAUUGGUGCUUGCACCAAUUUGAAGAGCAGCGAACGGGUGAGUAACGCGUGGGGAAUCUGCCUUUGAGCGGGGGACAACAUUUGGAAACGAAUGCUAAUACCGCAUAACAACUUUAAACAUAAGUUUUAAGUUUGAAAGAUGCAAUUGCAUCACUCAAAGAUGAUCCCGCGUUGUAUUAGCUAGUUGGUGAGGUAAAGGCUCACCAAGGCGAUGAUACAUAGCCGACCUGAGAGGGUGCUCGGCCACAUUGGGACUGAGACACGGCCCAAACUCCUACGGGAGGCAGCAGUAGGGAAUCUUCGGCAAUGGACGAAAGUCUGACCGAGCAACGCCGCGUGAGUGAAGAAGGUUUUCGGAUCGUAAAACUCUGUUGGUAGAGAAGAACGUUGGUGAGAGCGGAAAGCUCAUCAAGUGACGGUAACUACCCAGAAAGGGACGGCUAACUACGUG